rnacentral:rRNA from 1 species
UACGUAGGGGGCAAGCGUUGUCCGGAAUUACUGGGCGUAAAGCGUGCGCAGGCGGUUUUGUAAGCCAGAUGUGAAAUCCCCGGGCUUAACCUGGGAAUGGCAUUUGGGACUGCAAGGCUUGAGUGCGGCAGAGGAGACUGGAAUUCCUGGUGUAGCAGUGAAAUGCGUAGAUAUCAGGAGGAACACCGAUGGCGAAGGCAGGUCUCUGGGCUGACACUGACGCUCAUGCACGAAAGCGUGGGGAGCAAACAGG